AAAGAGGCGGAGGCAGUGCGCGGGAAGGGGGAGGGAGGGAGGAGGCGGACCUCAGCGCAGAGCCGCGAGGGAAGCGUGAGUCGGUCCCGGGUGAAGCUUGAGCUGCCGGGGAAGUGGCGUGCGGGACUCCUGGCUUCCCUACCCCCUCCUUUCGGGCAGCAGCCUGGCGGGGAACCCACCUUGCAACCCCCUCUGGCUCUUCGCGUCAGUCUCUGCGGACUUACUGCGCGGCCUGGUAGGGUCGGUGGUACCAGACGCACAGCCCCACCGUCUAGUAGGACAAGCCCUUGCCGGCUUUGCGUUUGGUUUGGUUUUUGUCUCCGCCUCUACACAUUCCCCCGCCUCCUGGGCCUCGACUCCCUCCUCCUGUCAAUCAGGUUCUCAUCUCACCCUUGGAGCCACGGGGCUUCCGCCCACUGUGACCUCGGGCAGUUGAGUUGGGUCCCCACUUCUGAACUGCUCACUUUGGGCUACCUGUCGGUUGGAGACGAUGGGACAUGAGGACGUUCUCCAACCUUCGGCUACCGGUGUCAGAGUUUUACUGCGUCCUUCGUUUCCAAAUGCAUGGACUUUCUGCCCUGAAACCGGAAGGUCAUAACCAAAUAACGCCUCAUUCCAACAGCAAGACCUAAAACCGGACGGAUAAGAAGCAAAGAGAAGCCAAAGUGGUUGCCGCGUUUGGGACACUGGAUGCCAGGGUAGCGGAAUUGGUGUUUAGAUGUAGAAGCGGGCCAGAGUAACGGGAGGUAGCGGAGGAGCCCCUCCACCACAGUGACCUUUAUUACCCGCACCUUCCCUCCGGCCUCACCCGUGCGCCUGCGGGUCGGGCGCUCGCCACCAGGGGGCGACGGAGAACCUAACGCAGAGCUUCGGGAAGUAGGGUAGCGACGGGCCGGUGUCCGUCCAUACCUAACCCGCAAAGCGCGGAGUUUGCAGCUGGCUGGAGUAACUCGGGGAGAAGCAGUUUUCGCGGUUGAGGAUCCGGCUUCGCUGCUUAUCUUGUAAUCCUCUUGGAGUCACCUGCAUAGAGAAUUUAUAGCGUGGUUGUAUUGGUGCUUGCCACUUCCCCCUGCAGGGUGCAUUUCCCAUAUUUUUUUCUUUUCUGAUCCUCCCCAUUCACCAAUAGUCACCCUUUAAAUUCAGAAGUGCUACGUUUUUCUUCCUAUUGCCUUAUAACAAAUUAAACUGUAACUUCUGACUAAAACUACCCCCCCCAAAGUUCGGGCAUUUCUAUUAUGCUACCCAAAAUUAAUUUAGAGGCAAAUAUCUAUGUAAAAUGUUUUAAGCCAAGUAGAAUUCUGUCUUACAGAAGCCUGUUGAAGAAAUAAAAGUUGAGAACUUAAAAUAGUACUUGACCCAUAGAAAUCUUAAUUUUUCCCACUUUACUGAGGUAUGUUACACAUAAUAAAGUACACAUAAAAUGAAUCACUUGAUAAAUUUCAAUGCAUACACACUCCUGUGAAGCCAUCACCAAUCAAAAUAAUGAACCACCCCAUCACCCCAAAAGGUUUCUCAUGUCCCUUUUGUAAGCAGUCCCUCCCUUCAUCACUAAAAAUGAUGCGCUAGGCAGCCAAUGAUUUUCUUUCUGUCACUAUAGUUUGCAUUUUCUUUAAUUACGUAUAUGGAAUCAUACAAUAUGUACUAUUCUUAAUCUGGCUUCUUAGAAAAAAAAUACUUUCCAGAUUCACCCCUGUUAUUGAGUGCAUAGAUAGUAAGUAGUAGUCUAUGAUAUAGAUGUGCCACAAAUUGUUCACCUUAAUGUACACUUUGGUUGUUUCCAAGUUUGUGCUGUUAAAAAUAAAACAGCAUUUUUGUGCUAGUCUUUCUGUGGACAUAUGCAUUUGUUACUUUUGGCUAAAUAUCUAGGUGUGGAUUUGGUGGGUUAUAUGGGAUGUAUUUGUUUAACUCUUUAAGAAACUACCAAACUGUUUUCCAAAACUAGUUUUACCAUUUUCUACUCCCACAGCAGUGUAUAACAUUUCCAGUCCCCACAUCCUUGCCAACACCUAUUAUUGUUAGUCAUCUGAAUUGUAGCCAGUUCAAUAAGGGUAUUUUGUAAUGGGAUAUGUAACUUAGUGGUAGAAUGCUUGUCUAGCAUGUGCAAAGUCCUGGGUUCAAA